rnacentral:ncRNA from 1 species
CAAAUCCAAAGGCAACCUUUCCGAAAGGGGAGGAGCGCAAAGCCACGGGCCUAAAACGGGUGUGCCCCGUUACGGCGGCCGGGCUGCAUUA